ACAUAUCACACUCCUCUCGUUCCCGUUGCGUCCCUCACCUCGCGCCGCAACACACCCGCAUAAAGAGAGGAUCAAUGCCCCUCGACUCCGCCAUGGCCUUGAGCCCGUAGCCGAGACAUUGCCUUCGUCCGAAUCUGGAGCCGGUCUACCUCCCUGUCCCAUUCCCAACCUCCUCCUCGACAGGAUUCACCACGUUUCUCCGCGCCGCGUCGCAACCGCUCCCUGCAUCAGGCUGCCAUCACUGACACUAGGCUGCCAUCACCUCUUUUGCUCCUCCGACAACAGGCUGCCAUCAUCGACGCCUCCACCUCGCUAGCCAUCCCAGCUCCAGUGACCCUCCUUCUCCCGCGCGCCCCACGGCAAGCCGCCAUCGCGCCCUCGUCUCGGACACGAGCUCCGCACAACCAUCCGCCGCCGCGAGCAUGAGUGGCUCCACCUGUGAGCCCUGGUGCCUCUUGCAGUCCUGCACAAGCACCAAGCCCCGCUGGUUCCCCCCCCAUCUCGCACGGAUCUACUCGUCGCACCGGUCGAUCGCGCCAUGCUCGUCGCCUCCGUAUUCAUGCGCCCCGUGCCCAAGUUCCACCACAGCUCCCGUGAGCAUCAUCUACGCAAGUUCGCUGUCGGGGUUUGCAACUAGUUCGUUUUGUCUUUGGGAAUUGUUGGCCCAAAGCCGUGGGUGAUGUUUUGUUUUGGAUCACGUCAAGUUCUCUGUAUGAGACCACGUACCCCUCGGUUACGCCAGGAUCGACUACACGGACGCAAGCCUUGCAAGUCCUGAACCUCUACGGUCGUCUUCAAGAUUGCGAGUACAUGUACCGUCACCGAAGACGCAUGUACCACUGCUUCGACAACGUCCAUGACGGCCCGUGAAUGACUACUUCCCUCGACGAACCUUAGUCCACCCGAACGCACGCUUCAAAGGUAUAACCAGCAAGACGAUCACCUGUGGAUCGAAUGCAUGUGAUGUAUGAGAUGAACCGUAUGUUGAACCUUAUGUGAUUGCUUGUUGCACGUUGUCCCUCUUUUGUCUUGCCCCCGAUGGUAACCGGGAUCACCCCACAUUCUUUGGUAUGACACGCACACACUCACAAUUCUUUUGCACGGGCAUGUCAUCAAGUUAUCGGGACCGGAACAUUAUCAUGGCAUCGUUUCUGUUUUGCCGACAUGGUUCCCUUUCUUUCGCCAUGGCGAUACAUGCUUCAAAUCCGUCCUGCUAAUGUUUUCAUAAAAAUUGCAUGCAUGUUGCAUUCAUGGCAUAAUAUCUUGUGUUGCACGUAUGUUUUAACCAUAGCUCCGUUCAAAUGUGCUAUAUGUGUAAACUGACUAGAAUGUAGAAUAGAAUCACAUGCUUCACCCAUUGUCAUGUUUAAACAACAUUUAAUAUUGCCUUGUACCUAAACAUGAGUGAACUAAAUAAUUUGAAUGUGGAGUUUCGUCAAUAUGCAACUCGUUGCAUAUUGAGCUUCACUUAUUGUUUAGUGUUUGAUUGUUGUGAAUUGCCAUGCCAUGCCUUGCAUAAUUGAAACGGACAUGCAUCAUAUUUAGGUGUGCAUCAUAUUGUGCAUUUGUGGUGGUGUUAUCGUGUGUUGAUUGUUGUUCCGGUUUGUUUCUUCUCAAUAGAGUUCCACAAGCAUGUCGGAAUGUGAGGAUCCGUUUGACUACGUUGGUUCGCCUGCUUCACGGAUUCGUUCUUCUUCCAAGCAGAAUCUCAGACAAGAUGAUCAUUUCCCUAGAUUCCAUUACUAUCAUUGCCAUGCUAGUUGUUUCGUUUCUAUAUCUAUGUCUUGAUGCCUACAACCUGAUUAAUAAGCCUCCCAACAUUUCCAUAAAAACCUUCAACCUUUCUAUAACCUAGGAAACCAGUGAUUGACUAUGUUACCGCUUGCUUAACCAUUGGAUAGCGUUGCUAGUUGUAGGUGAAGUUGCUUCCAUGUGAUAACAUGGGUUCCUUGUUAUAUCACCAUAUUAAUUCUAUUUAAUUUAAUGCACCUAUAUACUUGGUAAAUGGUGGAACGCUUGGCCUUCUAGCCUGGUGUGUUGUUCCACCUUUGCCACCUUAGUUUUGGCUACCGGUGUUAUAUUCCAUAAUUGAGCGCUCCUAACA
rnacentral:lncRNA from 1 species